AACGCGAAGAACCUUACCUAGACUUGACAUCUCCUGAAUUACUCGUAACUGAGGAAGCCCUCCGGGGCAGGAAGACAGGUGGUGCAUGGUUGUCGUCAGCUCGUGUCGUGAGAUGUUGGGUUAAGUCCCGCAACGAGCGCAACCCUUAUCAUUAGUUGCUACCAUUAAGUUGAGCACUCUAGUGAGACUGCCCGGGUUAACCGGGAGGAAGGUGGGGAUGACGUCAAAUCAUCAUGCCCCUUAUGUCUAGGGCUACACACGUGCUACAAUGGUGAGUACAACAAGACGCAAGACCGCGAGGUGGAGCAAAACUGUAAAACUCAUCCCAGUUCGGAUUGUAGGCUGAAACUCGCCUACAUGAAGCCGGAGUUGCUAGUAAUCGCGAAUCAGCAUGUCGCGGUGAAUACGUUCCCGGGCCUUGUACACACCG
rnacentral:rRNA from 1 species